GGGGAAUAUUGCACAAUGGGCGCAAGCCUGAUGCAGCCAUGCCGCGUGUGUGAAGAAGGCCUUCGGGUUGUAAAGCACUUUCAGCGAGGAGGAAGGGUAGUGUGUUAAUAGCACAUUGCAUUGACGUUACUCGCAGAAGAAGCACCGGCUAACUCCGUGCCAGCAGCCGCGGUAAUACGGAGGGUGCAAGCGUUAAUCGGAAUUACUGGGCGUAAAGCGCACGCAGGCGGUUUGUUAAGUCAGAUGUGAAAUCCCCGCGCUUAACGUGGGAACUGCAUU
rnacentral:rRNA from 1 species